rnacentral:rRNA from 1 species
GACGAACGCUGGCGGCGUGCCUAAUACAUGCAAGUAGAACGCUGAAGGAGGAGCUUGCUUCUCUGGAUGAGUUGCGAACGGGUGAGUAACGCGUAGGUAACCUGCCUGGUAGCGGGGGAUAACUAUUGGAAACGAUAGCUAAUACCGCAUAACAGUAGAUAUCGCAUGAUAUCUACUUGAAAGUUGCAAUUGCAUCACUACCAGAUGGACCUGCGUUGUUUUAGCUAGUUGGUGAGGUAACGGCUCCCCAAGGCGACGAUACAUAGCCGACCUGAGAGGGGGAUCGCCCACACUGGGACUGAGACACGGCCCAGACCCCUACGGGAGGAAGCAGUGGGGAAUGUUGGGCAAGGGAGGGAAGCCUGACCGAGCAAGCCCGGGUGGGUGAAGAAGGUUUUGGGAUGUUAAAGCCCUUUUGUAGGGAAAAAAAAGGUGGGGGAGGGGAAAGUGCCCAUGUGACGGGAACUUAACAAGAAGGGACGGCUAAACUAGUG